GACGAACGCUGGCGGCGUGCUUAACACAUGCAAGUCGAACGGUAAGACCCUUCGGGGUACACGAGUGGCGAACGGGUGAGUAACACGUGGGUGAUCUGCCCUGCACUUCGGGAUAAGCCUGGGAAACUGGGUCUAAUACCGGAUAGGACCACUGCCUGCAUGGGUGGUGGUGGAAAGCUUUUGCGGUGUGGGAUGGGCCCGCGGCCUAUCAGCUGGUUGGUGGGGUGAUGGGCUACCAAGGCGACGACGGGUAGCCGGCCUGGGAGGGUGACCGUCCACACUGGGACUGAGAUACUGCCCAGACUCCUACGGGAGGCAGCAGUGGGGAAUAUUGCACAAUGGGCGCAAGCCUGAUGCAGCGACGCCGCGUGAGGGAUGACGGCCUUCGGGUUGUAAACCUCUUUCGGCACCGACGAAGCGCAAGUGACGGUAGGUGCAGAAGAAGGACCGGCCAACUACGUGCCAGCAGCCGCAGUAA
rnacentral:rRNA from 1 species